AACGCUGGCGGCAGGCCUAACACAUGCAAGUCGAGCGGUUGAGAGAAGCUUGCUUCUCUUGAGAGCGGCGGACGGGUGAGUAAUGCCUAGGAAUCUGCCUGGUAGUGGGGGAUAACGUUCGGAAACGGACGCUAAUACCGCAUACGUCCUACGGGAGAAAGCAGGGGACCUUCGGGCCUUGCGCUAUCAGAUGAGCCUAGGUCGGAUUAGCUAGUUGGUGAGGUAAUGGCUCACCAAGGCGACGAUCCGUAACUGGUCUGAGAGGAUGAUCAGUCACACUGGAACUGAGACACGGUCCAGACUCCUACGGGAGGCAGCAGUGGGGAAUAUUGGACAAUGGGCGAAAGCCUGAUCCAGCCAUGCCGCGUGUGUGAAGAAGGUCUUCGGAUUGUAAAGCACUUUAAGUUGGGAGGAAGAGCAGUUACCUAAUACGUGAUUGUUUUGACGUUACCGACAGAAUAAGCACCGGCUAACUCUGUGCCAGCAGCCGCGGUAAUACAGAGGGUGCAAGCGUUAAUCGGAAUUACUGGGCGUAAAGCGCGCGUAGGUGGUUAGUUAAGUUGGAUGUGAAAUCCCCGGGCUCAACC
rnacentral:rRNA from 1 species